UUGUGUUGAUUAUCCUUCUAAAAUGACAAAAUACAACAGAUGUUUCCCACUUCUUCUGGGAAGGGAAAGUAAUACAUCCAUUUUAACAAGAUUUUGAUAAUGGUGGUUGAUUACAUCAGUGGUCGUCCAACAGCAAAGUGACUGUGUUGGAUGCGCACUGAAUGUCAGAGUUUCAACUUCCCA